UAGUUCAGCGUGGGUGAGGAAGAGCGCCCACCUUAUGUGAAAAGUGCGGACUUGUUUCUGCCCUCUGCCAUCGUGGUGAAGGUUUGUUGAGCAACGGACCGCUUCCCUAAGGAGCAGGGUGCUCGCCGAGAACCUACGAAGAGCAUGGGCGUGGAGGCUGACCGCCUCGGGUCCAGCCCCGGGAUUCAGCUUGGAGCUGGGAUGCGCAGGUCACUGGGCGCCUGCACCUGUGUUCCCUCAUCUGCAGUGGCUGUGGGCAUCAGCGUCCUCAUCCGAGCUGUUGUAGGGACGAACCCGCGGACCCAGUGGCUGUGAUCUUUGACCAAGGAGGCAGGAAUAGCCAGUGGGAAAAAGACAGUCUCUUCGAUAAAUUAUCCUGCGAAAACUGAACAGCCACAUGCGAGAGAAUGAAACCAGACCACUUUCUUACACCGUACACAAAAUUAACUCUAAGUGGAUUAAAGACCUAAAUGUGAGGCCUGAAACCGUAAAAUGUAUAGAAGAGAGCCCAGGCAGUAAUCUGACAUGGACCAUAGCAACACUUUUCUAGAUAUGUCUCCUAAAAACAUGAUUUUCAUUAAAAAAAAUCAUUCUGUGUAUUGAGCGUCUCUCCCGAGCCGGCGCCUUCUCUCGGGAGCUCCCGGACUGGUCUGGCAGGAGAGAGACCCACAGGCGGAGAGGACAGAAGCAUCCUGGAUGGACACGAAGAGGCUUGCCAAUGUAAAAGGGAUAUCACGGAGGUCUAAAAAGCAAAUGUUUUCCAAGUACAGUCUCCGAUCCUCAAGAAUACCAGUAGUUUCAAAAGUAACUGUUAAACGUCAACUAGGGGAAUACUAGUGCAGGGGAGUGGCGCUUAAUGAAACGUUGAUUGGUGACUGCAUUCUUUCGAAACCGGAAUGGCUCCCAAGGGCUUCAUUGCACAACCCGGGACCCAGGCAGACCAACAGACCGUUCAGUGACUAGCAGGGUACUGCAUUUCCGACAUCUGUGUAUCUCAGCACGUUUGAUUUAUUGGAAACCCACAGCAAAAUGUCUGGGCUGAGAACACAUGACUGCGUGUCCCUUAUGUCCCUGGGAACCUCGCGCAGGAGGAGGCCUCUGGGAGCGGCUCCUUCCAGCCCCGACUCGGAGGAGUUGGGUCAGCCGCGAUGCUGUGGAGAAGCAGGUGGCCCCCACGAGGUGCCGGGGACCACAGACGCACCUUCUCUCCCCCUCACAGCAAAGCUGCGCGAGGUGAGGAAUGACCGAGAAGGUUCUGGAACAAAGGGGCAGCCAGAUGGGAGGAACAUGGGGAAUAUGGAGAAACGGUCCAGUGGGCCCAGGCAGUGUGGGAUUCCGGGCCGGAGACCGUGCACGUUCCUCCCGUUUGGGAAUAUCUUUGGAAAAUCACAGCAUUUCAUUCAACCAGACUUAUUUUGAAAGCAAGUGAGUGUUACCUGUUAAAAAUCCAAGGGAGUUGUUUUGGUCUAUACAGUAAGCAUCUCUCAGUCCCGUUUUCAGGGCCUAACCUGCUCCCCACCCUGCACAAGGCCCUGGGGGUUCUCAAGCAGAGAGGGCGGCUUCCUGCCCACAGGGUAUUCAUCACGAGUAGGGCAGCUGAGCGCGUGAACCUGGUCGGUACGGUGCACAGUGCCAAGGAGGAGAGGAAAUGCAGGUGGGGUGGGCGCCCUGGAGCAGGAGGUGGUGAGCCCCAGAGCAGGAGUGGGCGUGA